GAUGGACAUAUGACAUAUAAAUGUCCGUCCUUGCUUUAUACCACCACGACAACAGGGGGCGUGGUUUCGGCUGCGAGACGGGUAUAUUUACACUGGUGUACACCGUCUGCAACUUGGGGUAGUGGUUUAGCAGAGAUCCUACAGAAAACCUGGCUCAGACGAGACACCAUUUCCGUGGAUUACAAAGAAAAAAAUGUUUCGGAUUGUUAUAGGGCUGCUUGUGCUUGCAGGCACAACUGCCCAGACUCCUGGCACCAACCCCCAAGUUCAGACACGGACAUCAGGUCAGGCUGCUAACAUGCCUUCAACUAUGACUGAUUUGACCAGUCAACUCUUCAACCUUCUCAGCAAUGCUCAGACAAGGACUCAGGCUAUGUCAUCUGGAAUGCCAAUUAUUUCACAGGCUCCAUCAACAGGUGAUGUUCAAGGGGCUACACGUAAUACUCAAGCCAUCCCCUAUGGAGGAUCGACUCUAACCACACGCACAACCUCUCAGCUGCUUCCUUACGCUGCUCCAGUCCCAUCGCAACAAACUAGCCAAACCGCUCAACUAACGGGCACAACUUCCAACCAACAAACAAAUCCUAGCCAGGCAUCAUAUACCAACCAACAGGCAGCUCAAACUCAAACAACACAAAGCCAGACAUCAUAUACCAACCAACAGGCAGCUCAAAGCCAGACGCCGUAUACCAACCAACAGGCAGCUCAAAGCCAGACACCGUAUACCAACCAGCAAGCAGCUCAAAGCCAGACACCGUAUACCAACCAACAGGCAACUCAAAGCCAGACACCGUAUACCAACCAGCAAGCAGCUCAAAGCCAGACACCGUAUACAAACCAACAGGCAGCUCAAAGCCAGAAGCCGUAUACCAACCAACAGGCAACUCAAAGCCAGACACCGUAUACAAACCAACAGGCAGCUCAAAGCCAGAAUCCGUAUACCAACCAACAGGCAACUCAAAGCCAAACACCGUAUACCAACCAACAGGCAGCUCAAAGCCAGACACCGUAUACCAACCAACAGGCAGCUCAAAGCCAGACGUCGUAUACCAACCAGCAAGCAGCUCAAAGCCAGACACCGUAUACCAACCAACAGGCAGCUCAAAGCCAGACGCCGAAUACCAACCAGCAAGCAGCUCAAAGCCAGGCAACACAGAAACAAACAAUUCCUAAUCAACAGACAUCUCAGCGUUUCCCAUUUGGAAACACACAAAUGAACUAUUUUCAACAACAGCAACAACUUCAACUUCAAAAACAAAAGCAGCAACAACAGCAACAGCAACAGCAACAGUCCAUGUUUAACAUGAUGGGCAACAGAGGAUUCAUGCAGCCAUCACAAACACACAACAUGCAACAACAGACAAAUCAGUAUCAGUUUGGUAUGAGGAACCCGCAAAAUCUGCCAGCAUUCACAAGUCAAGGUCAGUUUAUGACCCCAAGACAGCCACAAUGGGGAGGAUCACAGUGGGGUGGGUCUGGAUGGGGUCGGACCGGAUGGGGACAGCCUAGUGCUUUGGGAAUGUCUGCAGCGAUGGGACAAGGACAAGGUCAGGGGCAAGGUCAGAAUCAAGGUCAAGGUCAGAAUCAAGGUCAAGGUCAAGGUCCUCUGGGUCAGUAUGGAGGCGGGCAGCAACAACCAUCUCAACAGAAUCCAUUCAGUUUGCCAAUGGGAGCAGCGAAACAAAGGAAGCAGAACGAUAUGUCCAUGUUCAACAUGCUAGCUAUGAUGUCAGCUAUGUCAGGAGAUCCUAUCGAGUUCCCCACUCGCGGACGCGGUGGUAUGGGAGGAAUGGGUGGUAUGGGAGGAAUGGGUGGUAUGGCUGGUAUGGCUGGUAUGGCUGGUAUGGGCGGUUUGGCUGGCAUGAGCGGUUUGGCUGGUAUGGGUGGGAUGUCUGGUAUGGGUGGGAUGUCUGGUAUUGGUGGUUUGUCUGGCAUGGGUGGUAUGGGUGGCAUGAGUGGUUUGGGGGGUGCGGGUGGUAUGGGCGGCAUGGGUGGUAUGGGUGGUAUGGGUGGUAUGGGUGGUAUGGGUGGUAUGGGUGGUAUGGGUGGUAUGGCUAGUCUCUUAGGGGGAGGAGAGGGCUUAGGUGCCGCAAUGGCCAUGAUGUCUAUGAUGCCAGGGAUGAGUGGAGGUGCAGCAGGGAGUGGAAGCACAGGUGGUGCCGGAGGCAUGGGAUCCAUGGGAGGAGCCAUGGGAUCCAUGGGAGGAGCCAUGGGAGGAGCCAUGGGAGGGUCAAUGGGAGGAGCCAUGGGAGGAUCAAUGGGAGGAGCCAUGGGAGGAGCCAUGGGAAGCUCCAUGGGAGGAGCCAUGGGAGGAGCUGGAUCUAUGGGAGGAAACAACAUGAUGAGCAUGAUGGGUAAUCCAAUGACGAUGUUGAUGAUGAACGCCCUCGGCAUCGACAUGCCCGACCCCCCAGCAGCCAAUGCGCGUGGAGGCGCAGCAGGUAGCCCAGCCGGAGGGUUCCUGUCAGCACUGUUCGGUAACACCCAGCCCACACCCCGGGUAUCCAACUCCUGGUCCACUGCUGUUUUUGAUCCCGUGCUUCCGGCGGGGGCUGGACCCAAUUCCAACGACCCAUUCGGCCUCGGAGGAACGGCGGUUUGAUUAUCCAAAUGAUGUCGACGACUUGGAAGCGAGGCUCAAACGCAGGUUUAUUGGCAGCUUCGUUCAUGGCGUGAUGCUGAGAUGGACUAUGCAGAGCAACGGAUAUGCACACACAUGAUAUGACAAUCAGCGGACCAUGUACCACACAGACUAUUCACCUCCCGAGUCAUAUUACCUGUUUAAAAAAUUGUUUUAUAAAGAUAUGAUUAUUAAAUCACAUUCAGAAAUAUGCACUGAUGAACACAUGGUAAGCAAGCUCAGGUUUGAUUCAGUCCUUAUAGCUUUGAUUCAGUCCUUAUAGCUUUGAUUCAGUCCUUAUAGCUUUGAUUCAGUCCUUAUAGCUUUGGUUCAGUCCUUAUAGGGAUCUGCCCCUGAAACUACCUCGUCAACAUUUUUUUUUUUCUUUUUUUUUUUUCCUUUGACAUUUUAAUUUUUAUUUCGUUUCAAGUGGGGCAAUAAAACUAAGUCCUUAAUGUCCAAGGAUUCUUUUCCUUCUAAAUUCUUUUCGGUGCAAUUUAGAUUGUAGCAACCAUGUAGACCAA